GAAAAUUUAGUUAAAUUAUAAUAUUAGCUUGUCAUGCUGAAGUUACUUUAUGAGUAAUUUUCU
rnacentral:tRNA from 1 species